AUGUGACCUUGACACUUCUUGAGACAGUUAAUGUACUUGACUACUAUGAUAACUAACUAUCUUUUCUUUUAACACUUCAUUAUUGGAUCAUCUACGAGUCGACGGAUUUCAAGCUGUUUAUCUUUUAGAUAUUGAGUGCACUUAAAUUGGCCCGAACAGGGAGACCGGUUUACUUUGGAUUGUCGUGUACGGAGUUCCGAUGUACUCGGUCAAUGUUGUGGCAAUUGAGCAAUAUUGCUCU